GAUGAACGCUGGCGGCGUGCUUAACACAUGCAAGUCGAACGAAGCACUUUAUUACGAUUUCUUCGGAAUGACGAUUUAGUGACUGAGUGGCGGACGGGUGAGUAACGCGUGGGUAACCUGCCUUAUACAGGGGGAUAACAGUUAGAAAUGACUGCUAAUACCGCAUAAGCGCACAGGAUUGCAUGAUCUGGUGUGAAAAACUCCGGUGGUAUAAGAUGGACCCGCGUCUGAUUAGCUGGUUGGUGAGGUAACGGCCCACCAAGGCGACGAUCAGUAGCCGACCUGAGAGGGUGACCGGCCACAUUGGGACUGAGACACGGCCCAAAACUCCUACGGGAGGCAGCAGUGGGGAAUAUUGCACAAUGGGGGAAACCCUGAUGCAGCGACGCCGCGUGAGCGAAGAAGUAUUUCGGUAUGUAAAGCUCUAUCAGCAGGGAGAAAAAAAUAGAACGGUACCUGACUAAGAAGCCCCGGCGUAACUACGUGCCAGCAG
rnacentral:rRNA from 1 species